rnacentral:rRNA from 1 species
GGGGGGAAAAUGGGGGGUGGCCAAACCAGAUUAGAUUCUCCUGGUAGUUCCCCCCCGCUAAACGAAGAAAGGUAGGGGUUGGGGGGGUUGGGCCCCCUCUUGUGGCGCCGGGAACAACAAAAGCCAUUUCGCCUGGGGGGGGAGGCCGCCAAGGUUGAAAUCAAAGAAAAUGAAGGGGGGCCGCCCAGCCAGCGGAGGCAGGGGUUUUAUUUGAAGCAACGGGAAGAACCUUACCAGGUUUUGACAUCCAGUAAAAGCCAGAGAGAUUUGGGGUGCCUUCGGGCAUACUGAGACAAGGUGGUGCAUGGUUGUCGUCAGCUCGUGUCGUGAGAUGUUGGGGUAAGUCCCGCAACGAGCGCAACCCCUAUUAUUAGUUACUAACAAGUAGUGUUGAGGACUCUAAUGAGACUGCCGGGGAUAACUCGGAGGAAGGUGGGGACGACGUCAAAUCAUCAUGCCCCUUAUGACCUGGGCUACACACGUGCUACAAUGGCCACUACAGAGAGCAGCGAACCCGUGAGGGCGAGCGAAUCUCAAAAAAGUGGUCUCAGUUCGGAUUGUAGGCUGCAACCCGCCUCCAUGAAGUCGGAGUUGCUAGUAAUCGCGGAUCAGCACGCCGCGGUGAAUACGUUCCCGGGCCUUGCACUCACCGCCCGUCA